rnacentral:rRNA from 1 species
AACGAACGCUGGCGGCAGGCUUAACACAUGCAAGUCGAACGCUCCGCAGGGAGAGUGGCAGACGGGUGAGUAACACGUGGGAACGUACCCUUUACUACGGAACAACUCCGGGAAACUAGAGCUAAUACCGUAUGUGCCCUUUGGGGGAAAGAUUUAUCGGUAAAGGAUCGGCCCGCGUUGGAUUAGCUAGUUGGUGGGGUAAAGGCCUACCAAGGCGACGAUCCAUAGCUGGUCUGAGAGGAUGAUCAGCCACAUUGAGACUGAGACACGGCCCAAACUCCUACGGGAGGCAGCAGUGGGGAAUAUUGGACAAUGGGCGCAAGCCUGAUCCAGCCAUGCCGCGUGUGUGAUGAAGGCCUUAGGGUUGUAAAGCACUUUCACCGGAGAAGAUAAUGACGGUAUCCGGAGAAGAAGCCCCGGCUAACUUCGUGCCAGCAGCCGCAGUAAUAC